GACGAACGCUGGCGGCGUGCUUAACACAUGCAAGUCGAACGGUGAAGCUCCAGCUUGCUGGAGUGGAUCAGUGGCGAACGGGUGAGUAACACGUGAGCAACCUGCCCCAGACUCUGGAAUAAGCGCUGGAAACGGCGUCUAAUACUGGAUACGAGAUCAAGCCGCAUGGUUAUGGUCUGGAAAGUUUUUCGGUUUGGGAUGGGCUCGCGGCCUAUCAGCUUGUUGGUGAGGUAAUGGCUCACCAAGGCGACGACGGGUAGCCGGCCUGAGAGGGCGACCGGCCACACUGGGACUGAGACACGGCCCAGACUCCUACGGGAGGCAGCAGUGGGGAAUAUUGCACAAUGGGCGAAAGUCUGAUGCAGCGACGCCGCGUGAGGGAUGACGGCCUUCGGGUUGUAAACCUCUUUCAGCAGGGAAGAAGCGAAAGUGACGGUACCUGCAGAAGAAGCACCGGCUAACUACGUG
rnacentral:rRNA from 1 species